UAUCACACACAGUGUUGACAUUACUAAAUACGCCAGAUUUUCAAUAUUAUCGCUUACUCUAUAAAAAAAACAGAAGAAAAAAUCUCUAUUCUUGAUAUUCUCUAUGGAUUAAAGAAAAGAUCUCAAUUCCUGCAUAGUCUCUGUCAGAUAUGUUUGAACAAAUAUAAUUCUGGAUCUGUCAAGUUUUGAACUGUGCGGCCAUUGGCGCUUAAGAGUUGGUUAUUAAAGAAGUUAGAUAUUAGCUUAUUAAUUGUUACAGUGUAAAUGAUUUUUCCCAAACCAUAGGUAGAAUCUAGAUUGUUGAGUACCACC
rnacentral:lncRNA from 1 species